UGGGGAAUUUUGGACAAUGGGCGAAAGCCUGAUCCAGCAAUGCCGCGUGUGUGAAGAAGGCCUUCGGGUUGUAAAGCACUUUUGUCCGGAAAGAAAUCCUUGGCUCUAAUACAGUCGGGGGAUGACGGUACCGGAAGAAUAAGCACCGGCUAACUACGUGCCAGCAGCCGCGGUAAUACGUAGGGUGCAAGCGUUAAUCGGAAUUACUGGGCGUAAAGCGUGCGCAGGCGGUUUGCUAAGACUGAUGUGAAAUCCCCGGGCUCAACCUGGGAACUGCAUUGGUGACUGGCAGGCUAGAGUAUGGCAGAGGGGGUAGAAUUCCACGGUGUAGCAGUGAAAUGCAGUAGAGAUGUGGAGGAAUACCGAUGGCGAAGGCAGCCCUGGCCAGUCAACUGACGCUCAUGCACGAAAAGCGUGGGGAGCAAACAGGAUUAGAUACCCUGGUAGUCCACGCCCUAAACGAUGUCAACUAGUUGUUGGGGAUUCAUUUCCUUAGUAACGUAGCUAACGCGUGAAGUUGACCGCCU
rnacentral:rRNA from 1 species